UACGGAGGGAGCUAGCGUUGUUCGGAAUUACUGGGCGUAAAGCGCACGUAGGCGGCUUUUCAAGUCAGGGGUGAAAGCCCGGGACUCAACCCCGGAAUUGCCCUUGAAACUGGAAGGCUAGAAUCACGGAGAGGUGGGUGGAAUUCCGAGUGUAGAGGUGAAAUUCGUAGAUAUUCGGAAGAACACCAGUGGCGAAGGCGGCCCACUGGACGUGUAUUGACGCUGAGGUGCGAAAGCGUGGGGAGCAAACAGG
rnacentral:rRNA from 1 species